UCCACUAAAAUCACACAUCUGUCUUGGUGUAAAACACUGGAUAUUGCUUCUGUGGUUCUCUAGGGCCUCUGAGCAAAGUUUUCCAUAUCUAAGAUUCACCAGGUCAUUUCAAUUAGAGAUGCUAGGCCAGGACUUGACAAUUGCAGAGGUUUCAGGGUCCAUAUGCCUAUACUUCCAAGUUAUUUCUGAUUUUGAAAGAUGACUGGUUCCAGUCCAAGAAGAGAUUUGUCCAUUCUGCAGACUCCCAUGAGCAGUAAUGAACAGCAAGAAAUACAUCAGAAAAACCAUGACUGAAAAGAGGCCAUUGUCUUAGAGAUUUAUAAGUGACCGAAGAAGGCGAAGGAGGUGGAGCUUUGGCUGAAAGGACCUUCUGAACCAGAACCAUAAUCAAUGCUGUGAACAGAUAAGUAUGACUUGUUCUAAAAUUGAUGCCAGCUGUGGCCAAUGCAUACAGAAUUGAGAGAGGCAACCAAGUGAAAAAAGAACAAGGGAAGGAUUAGUAUUCAUUGGGAUGAAUUCAUUUCAGCAAGAAAUUAAAAUCAAGGAUCUCUGCACUGGAGAACAGUGGAACUGGUAAGAUAAAAGGAGCUUCCUGGCAUCCACAGAGUUGAUUUUGGGCCUGCAAGCAAGCCUGGUGGGGAGGUGGCUGUAAUAGGAUAGCAGUUCUUUAAAUAGCACCAGCUGCAGGAUAGAUGCUGUCAGGGAAAAUAUAGAAGGAAACAAGGUCUCUUGGAUCUAAAUUUCAGCAGGCAAGGCUUGUGCAGGAGAUCACCUUAAUGAAUGGUGUGCAACUCGAAAGGCCUCUGCUGUCUAAAAGGCAUAAUAAGCCCUGAAGUCCAGCUUCUUCUCUGAUAGAUGGUGGUGGAGGGAAGAGCAAAAAAAGAUUGAACAGUUAUUAAUGCUGAAUAUUUAUGCAGCUGUUUUCCACUUAAAGCUUUAUGUUUAUUAUGAUAUGUUCAGGAAUUCAAAUUUCCCAGGAAGACAGUCUGGAAGCCCUUUUUUACCGUCUUAAUUGGCUGCUAAGGGAAAUAGGAUAUUGACCAGGAUGGGUUAGUGCUCUUUAAUGUAUGGAUGCUUUAAUGAUACUGCUUUUUCUAAACAACUUGAUAUUGAUACUUCUAAACAAUUCUAUUGUUACUUCUCCUAGCAAAUUUUCAAAUCUUCCUUUCCACUAGCACCUUUUCUUCAUCCCUCCUCCAGGCCCAGCUUUCCAGCCAACAAGGCAAGAUUUGUUCUCUAGUCUAGUGAAAUCUCUCCUUUGGACCCAGAUAGGAUAAGUGACGAAGCAGAAGCACUCCACUAGUCUGACUUUCCAUGACCGGGAAAGGUAUUCUGAAAGAGACCUGCUGCCAUUAUGGGAAUAAGUCAUGCAUGAUCCCUAGGCAGAAUGCAAAGCUUUUGGCCUUUUGGAAAUUUCUACAGCACAAUGACUUUGAGCAUGGGAAAAUGAAAAUGGAGGCAGCAGCACCAUCCUGUGUUGCCCUGUUUGGAUCUGUGACAGAUGAAAUAGCAAAACCAAGACAAAGAUGCAUGCUACACACUGACAGUGGAAGAUACAGGUAUGAAAGGAUAUGAGAUGAUAUAAGAAAUACAUUGGAACAACUUUUGAAUUAUGCCCUUUCCCUUCCAGCAAAGCUAAUUUGAAUUACAGGAUGUCAUUUCCAUUUAUAUUUUGGGCUUUCUUUCAGUGCUACAUCAGCUAAAUGACAAAUUGAGUAUGUGUAUCUAUGGAGAGCAGCAUGGCAUAGUGGUUUGGGAGUUAGACUUGGAUUCUGGACACAAAGCGUUCAAAUCUCUAUUAAGCCAUGGAAAACCCACUGGGUGACUUUCGCCAAGUCACACUUUCUCUGUUUUAUUUUAUUUAUUUAUUUAUUUAUUUAUUUAUUUAUUAGACUUGUAUACCGCUACUCCCAGUUUCGCUCGGAGCGGUUUACAGAAAUAGAUUAAAACAAUACACUUAGCUUUAAAAUAACAAUAAAAACAACAAUAAAAACAGACAUAGCCCUGAGUUUUUCACCCAUUGAAAGCUUGUCGGAAGAGCAAGGUUUUGCAGGCUUUCCGAAAGGCAAGUAGAUCUCGGAUAGUUUGAGUUUCAACUGGCAAGGCAUUCCAUAAAUGAGGGGCUACAAUCGAGAAGGCUCUCUGCCUAGUAGAAGACAAAUGAUAAGUCCGUAUGUUAGGGACUUCAAGCAAAUUUUGGUCUUCGGACCGAAGUAAUCUCUGGGGUUGGUAGGGGGAUAAGCGGGCCCUCAGGUACGCCAGCCCCAAACCAUGUAAGGCCUUAAAGGUUAGAACCAGUAUCUUAAAAGUAAUCCGGUACUUUUAGAGGAAGGCAAGGGUAAAUCCCCUUAGAACAAAUCUUUUCAAGAAAACAAGGGUCACAGUGUCAAAAAUUACUUGAGGACAAUAACAACAAUUAUGUGUAGCUUUGGCACAGAAAAACCUUUGAAAUAGAAUGUCACCCUGAGGAGACAUUGAAUUAGGAAACCUCAUAUGUAGGCUGAAUUUCCAUUAUCUAAAAUGCUUGGGAUGAGAAAUGUUUCAGAUUUCAGUUUUUCUUGGAUUUUGGAAUACUGUAUUUGCAUAUACAUAGUGAAUGAGGGGUGGGGAAAGGAGGAUAGUCAAACAUCUAGCUCUCAUGGAGCAUAUUACCUUUCCACCCAGGAGACACAAAACUUGCCAUUUUGGAUUUACUCAUCCAAAAUGCCUGAUCUACUUUAUAUAUAAUAUGUUAUUUCAAUUUCAUACUGAGGAUGAGAAAGUGGGGGUUAUAUGAUUGAUUAUAUCUUUGUCCCCAAAUUCCUUCCAUCGAAAAUACAUCAUUAUCAACAAUGAUGCUUAUAUCAGCAUACCUUAUUUCUGCCACCUAGUUUUCUCUGUGUUAGUUUGUUUAUCUGUUUGUUUCUUUCAAAGAGAAGAGCACUAAGUCUUUUGACACGAGUGUAAUAGAAGUGAUUAGUAAUGAUAACAAUGUAAAAAUGAGUGCUGCUUUUAAACAUGUAAAUAUGUGCUCUUUAAGUCCUCCAAGUGAUAUUAUGUUCAUAGACUGGUCAUUGGGGAUCAUUUGCCUCAUCUCAAGUGGACACUUUACGUGCUAGAGACAGAUCUUGCAGUCUAGCACUCUUCCUGGCAUAUUAAAUUUGAAGACGGAGAGAUUUUGAAAUGAGCAUAUGACUUUCCUGACUCUCUUGAAUGUAAUCCUGAACAUUUUCUUGUAGGUCUGAAACUAGUAUAACCAGAAUACUUUAUGUUAUUAGUAGCCAUUUUUAUUUAUAAAAUAAACUACGCUCCCUUGUCAUUGAACAAAUAGUCAGCAACUUACCUUCUAGCUCACAAAGAAGAAUUGUCUUCUUAUAAUUUAUCACAAUGCUAAUAAGCCCUACUUGCUAAUAUAAGUUAAAUAUCCAAGCAUACUUAUGGAACCCAAAAUCUGAGAAGAAGAUAAUGUUCUGGGAAGAAGGUGAUAAGCUAUUUAAUUCAGUUGAAUACUGAAUUGGAUACUGAUAUAUAAUCAGUGUAGACUCAUAUGGUACAGUUUAACUGCACUGAACUGUAUUAUUAGUCUACACUGUCUAUAUAAUGCAGCAUCAAUGGGGCCGAAGUUCCCAUUUUAAUUUUAAUUUCUGUAUACCAAUCUACAUGUCCCAAGCCUGUCCCCAUUUCCAGUAUUUGCCAAAAAUUGAAUAGGUACGUUAUAUGGAUCUUUCUAUUCUUUUGGGAAAAAUACAGAAAGUUCUUCAGAAUAACAGAUUAAAGUGUUGAGAGCUUUCAAAGCCAAUCAGCAUUCAGUGAAGAAUCAGGAACAUUUCUCUAUGAUUCUGUAGUGUGACAAUGAAGUUUAGAAAUGUUUGUGUAUCAGAGAUUGAAAUAAUAUUUGAAAAUAUCUGAAAAAUGAUUGAAAAAUGGUUUCUUGAGUGUCAGGAAUAGUUGAAAACCAUUACAGGUCACAAUUCUGCAUUAAAAACACAUUUGGGUGUUCUGCACAGAAAAUGUCAUUUUCCAAAUAAACCCACAGCUUUCUGAUAAAAAGCACUUUUUUGCACAAAUAAGAACCAAACUGUGACUAUUUGUCAAAAUGGUGAAAUGAGGAGAAAGAUAGCAAAACGGUUCAUUCUUGCCUGCAAGGAUUAAAUUCCCAACUAUUUAUGUCCUAGUAUGUGUAGUUUCAAGAUUUCAAAGUGUGAUUCAUCUCAUAUUGUGAAUUGUUGUGUUGAAAUGGAGGAAUGUUACACUUCAAAAGUAUUUGUUGUAAUUAAUAUAUUACGAGACUGUGAGGGAGCAAUGAUAUAUGCUCCCUCACAGUCUGUGUGGACACAGUCUGCUUAUAUCCUUCCCAAAUGGCCUUCAUACCUCAAUUAAGCAAUCUCAGAAAUUGGCUUUGCUAGACAUACCCUUUGGAGAGAUUUCAUGAUGAAAGAAAAUAUCAUUGUCACAGUAGGAAAUACCAUAAAAAUUGUAGCAGAUAUUAAUCAAUGUCCUGAUAUUUAAAGUGGUGAAAGGUGUACAACACAAAUGACAAAACCGGAAGCUUCAACAGAAGCAAAAUCUACCCUGAACAUCAUCUCCUAAAUCCCAUCCAAAAGCUACUAUCAUUAUAUUUCAAUAUAGCUCUGUAUUUCCGGAUGGCUUCUUCUUCUUCUUCUUCUUCUUCUUCUUCUUCUUCUUCUUCUUCUUCUUCUUCUUCUUCUUCUUCUUCUUCUUCUUCUUCUUCUUCUUCUCCUUCUCUCUCUCUCUCUCUCUCUCUCUCUCUCUCUCUCUCUCUGAUAUGCUGCCAAACGACUGUUCCAAAGCCAUUUCCUGGCAAACCACAUGGUACUGAAUUGGCAUGUAUCCUCAUCCUUUCAAAAUACAGAGAUGGCUUCUCAUUGCAAUAAUUGGCUUUGAACAUGCAUUUUCAGUCCUUCCAAAGUUGGUGGAUGUUCACAUUGUGAUGGUUUACAUUCAUGCCCAAUGCCCAUUUCUUAGACUUUUCUGUUUUCAAGAGAUAUUUUGGCUAGUUUCACAAGAGACAAAUGGGAUUCAGUUUGCUUUGUUCACCUUCUCCCUGAAGCCUUGGACAAAAGACCUUAGUGAUUUAAGUAUGUAUCAAUGUGUAUUGUACAGGCAUAAACUUUAAGAAAGUAUAUUUUUCUUUUGUUAAGAAAAUAUUGUCAACUUGUUUAAUCUAAGUAAAUAAGUAUGAAAAAAUAAUAAUUCCAAGUUUCUGAAAAUAUUUAAAAAUGUAAUAAUUAAAAACCAUUAAAUAAGCAAGAUAUCACUGCCUACAUUUGGUUUACAGAUUUGGCCAUUAUAUCCUUCAUAGUUCUCAUUAUGACAAAUUGCAUGGCUUUUAUACCUAUUUAAAUACUAUUGAUGCAUGUGUCAUCAAUUUCUUCUUAGUUUCUUUAUAGAUUUAGGCUAGGAUUUGUUCUUUUGGUAUACACAAUAGAUCAGAGAGUGACAGUUUGCCAUUGGUGGUAUUGUUUAUUGCAUGCACUGCACAUUCUGCAAUAUGCCAUAAUUUGAUAGGUCCUUUUAAUGUCAAACAUUAACUUAGGUGGAGUAUUGAUUUGGGGACAAAUCAAAUCUAUGUUUAACCUAAAACAUGUUGCUAGACUACCAACUUUAGACUCUCUCUCUCUCUAUAUAUAUAUAGCAUUAAUUGAAAUAUUUACUGUUAAAUCCUUAUUUGACUGAUGUGUGCCAGUCCCAGAAACAAGCUACAAGGGCUGGAAAAAUAGUAUAAUUUAUUCAAUGUAUAAAAAGGGCAAUUAACAGGAGCCUCCAAAUGACCACUGAAUGAGUUUAUUCAACAUAUCCUCAAAGCUAUACACUCACUAUCUGUUAAACAGAUUUAAUGUCUGAGCAAAAUUGAUAAAACUCUUACAAAAUUGAUUAAAAAAAAUCCUCCUCCCCCUCCCCCUUUCUCCUGGCACAUCAUUUCUACAUUCCAGGAAGGUUCCGGCAGCAGUUUAAUGACAGCCAGGUAAGUUAUUUUAUUUUUUGAAGUCU